CUAACACAUGCAAGUCGAGCGAGGACUUCGGUUCUAGCGGCGGACGGGUGAGUAACGCGUGGGAACGUGCCCUUCUCUACGGAAUAGUCCCGGGAAACUGGGUUUAAUACCGUAUACGCCCUUUGCGGGAAAGAUUUAUCGGAGAAGGAUCGGCCCGCGUCUGAUUAGGUAGUUGGUGGGGUAACGGCCUACCAAGCCUACGACCAGUAGCUGGUUUUAGAGGAUGAUCAGCCACACUGGGACCGAGACACGGCCCAGACUCCUACGGGAGGCAGCAGUGGGGAAUCUUGGACAAUGGGCGCAAGCCUGAUCCAGCCAUGCCGCGUGAGUGAUGAAGGCCCUAGGGUCGUAAAGCUCUUUCACCCGUGAAGAUAAUGACGGUAGCGGGAGAAGAAACCCCGGCUAACUCCGUGCCAGCAGCCGCGGUAAUACGGAGGGGGUUAGCGUUGUUCGGAAUUACUGGGCGUAAAGCGCGCGUAGGCGGACCAUCAAGUUGGGGGUGAAAUCCCGGGGCUCAACCCCGGAACUGCCUCCAAAACUGGUGGUCUUGAGUCCGAGAGAGGUGAGUGGAAUUCCGAGUGUAGAGGUGACAUUCGUAGAUAUUCGGAGGAACACCAGUGGCGAAG
rnacentral:rRNA from 1 species